rnacentral:rRNA from 1 species
UACGAAGGGGGCUAGCGUUGCUCGGAAUGACUGGGCGUAAAGGGCGCGUAGGCGGCUCGCUUAGUCAGGCGUGAAAGCCCUGGGCUCAACCCUGGAACUGCCUUCAAAACUGGCGACCUAGAGUAUGGUAGAGGUGUGUGGAACUCCGAGUGUAGAGGUGAAAUUCGUAGAUAUUCGGAAGAACACCAGUGGCGAAGGCGACACACUGGGCCAUUACUGACGCUGAGGCUCGAAAGCGUGGGGAGCAAACAGG